rnacentral:rRNA from 1 species
UACGUAGGGUGCAAGCGUUGUCCGGAAUUAUUGGGCGUAAAGAGCUCGUAGGCGGCUCGUCGCGUCGGCUGUGAAAACCUGGGGCUCAACCCCGGGCCUGCAGCCGAUACGGGCGAGCUAGAAUUCGGUAGGGGAGACGUGGAAUUCCUGGUGUAGCGGUGAAAUGCGCAGAUAUCAGGAGGAACACCGGUGGCGAAGGCGGGUCUCUGGGCCGAUAUUGACGCUGAGGAGCGAAAGCGUGGGGAGCGAACAGG